rnacentral:snoRNA from 1 species
UGAGAGGCAGUGAUGUUGACAACUACCUAUUUUAUGAGGGAAUCUUCCCUUGUGAUUAUAAAACACCAAUGGAUCCUUCUGAGUCCUCUC